rnacentral:lncRNA from 1 species
CUACCUCAGACCAAUUCAAACAUCUCAAAGAGUGACAAGCUGACCUGAAAGAUUUAUAUAACAACGUAGUGAGCUAAAAACAGCUCAGCAAGUAAUAAAGCAUAUUCAGAACAAAAGGAACGGUUUAAAACAAGUAAAAUAUCAUAAUGCAAGGCAGAAUACAAGAAUUCUCAAAGAUACCAUCUCAUUAGAUACAAAAUCAUAUGUGUCAUGUCAUUCAAAACCUAUUUGGUUCAUAACAGAUGGAGCAUAGAGUAAUUGGAGCAUAUCAAUAGCGUACGAGAUGUUCCGGAGCAUAUCAAUGGCAGAUAGGAUAUUUCAGAACAUAUCAGUUCAUAGCAAAUGGAGCACAGAGUAAUUGAAGCAUAUCAAUAGCGUAUGAAAUAUUCCGGAGCAUAUCAAUAACAUAUGGAACAUUUCGAAGCGUAACAAUAACAGAAGAAACAGAUAGAAGGUGAAGUGGGAUUCCAAACAUAACAUGGUCCAUCCAUUUCUGAAUGACCACCAAACAUAAUCUAGAGCAUCGCAGGCUCUAAGCACAUACCUUUUACCAUUUCUAGCAAAGGUCCAAAUAAUCCCACAAACACCAGAGUACAAAAGGGUAUUGUGAACAAUAAUUUGAGACAAUAGCAGAUGAAGCAUUUCAGAGCAUAUCAAUGGCGUAUGAAAUGUUCCGGAGCAUAUCAAUGACAUGGAACAUUUCGAAGCAUAACAAUAACAGAUGGAAUAUUUCGGAGCAUAUCAAUGGCGUAUGAAAUGUUCCGGAGCAUAUCAAUGACAUGGAAUAUUUCAAAGCGUAACAAUAACAGAUGGAAUAUUUCGGAGCAUAUCAAUGAGGUAUGAAAUGUUUCGGAGUAUAUCAAUAACAAAUGAAACAUUUCUGAACAUAUCAAUAACAAAUACCAAACAGAAGCUCAAACGUCGUAUUUGACGUUGCAUUCAUAUCAUUCUUAUCCAAAGCAUGUACAGAAACACAUAACCAAAGCUAUGGAUAUCAUAUCAAACAUACAGAAGGUGUAGUGGGACCACUGACAGAAUGUGAUUCAUCCAUUUCUGAAUGACCACCAAACAGAAGUCUCCCACGUCUGGGAGCUCCAUCCACCCACGUCUAGGUGAAGUCAGAGGGGGCCGGCAGAACAUCGUAGGCUCUAUGCAUAACUCCCUUUACCAUUUCUGGCAAAGGUUCACAAAUCCCACAAACACCAGAGUACAAAAGGGCAGUAUGAACAAUAAAUAACAUAUAUCAGAAGCACACGCGGAACAACAAAACGUACAUGUGCCUUUACGAGUCAAUACGAAGUAAGUAAUAAUCUUUCACAAUGGUAUUCAGAUUUGAAAGGAAAUGGAUUAGGCACAUGUCGAAAGCAAAUGCGGAACAAUGGGAUACACAUGUGCAUAUAUGAGUCAAUACGAUAUAGCAUAAACGUUACACAAUAGUUUUCAAGAAUGCAAAUAACUUUAAGGACAAGAGCAUACAAGAAUUCAAAGCAGUAAUAUAAAGCUCAAUUAAAUAAGAAAGCAAAAGGAUAUCAAUUUUCAAAGGAAUAAAACUAGAAUAUGGGAAAUCGACCAAAGCUCGAUUUUUGGUAGAAUACAAGAGGCACAUUGAACAAAUGAUUCAAACUAUCAAUCGUGCUCCAAUUUACUCAAAAAUAUAUCAUUGGAUUAUACUUUUAGAUAGGACAGGCUUCAUAUGAAUUGAAUUGUCCAAUGGAGAGAGUUACAAAUAAUUUGGUAAACAAGGGUCGGAGAAUAAAAUCUCUGUUUGGCAGGAUUCAUAAGGUCAGAUUCAAUAGAUAAUUGGGCAGGUGUUUGAAUUCCAAAUCUUUUAAUCCAUAUAUCAAAAGAAAGAUCUACGAGUCUAGUUUCCAAUGAAAUCAGUUUUGAACAAAUCAGAGUUUCCAACAAAGACUUAUAGGCAGCUCAGUAUGAAAAUGUCAUAAUCUCAGAAGUUGCACAGAUUCGAAUCGUUACGUCUAAGCAGGAGAUAUAUCAAAUGCAAGGCUAGAAUAAUUCAAAGUUCCUCAUAUUCAAAGCAAAUGUAGAGAUAAAAUUACAGUAAGGAAAGAUCAAGACACUUGCAAUAGGAAAGAUUAUAACAAUAACAAGAGAAACGAUCGGGAAACUUGCAAUAAAAAUGAUCGAAACAUUUGCAAUAGAAAGGAUCGAAACACUUGCAAUAGAAAGGAUUAGAAUACAUGCACAAGGAAGAUCAUAAUACUUGUAAUAAGAAAAUUUAGAACAAGUACAGGAAAAACAAGCGGGAAACUUGCAAUAGAAAGGAUCGAAACAUUUGCAAUAGAAAGGAUCGAAACACUUGCAAUAGAAAAGAUUAGAAUACUUGCACAAGGAAGAUCAUAAUACUUGCAAUAAGAAAAUUUAGAAUAAUUACAGGAGAAACAAGCGGGAAACUUGCAAUAAGAAAGAUUAGAGCAAUUACAGGAUAAAUGAUCGAGAAACUUACCUUUCAAAGAUUUCGAUCCGAAGAUCCAAAGAAGGUGCCAGCCCAAAUCCUUCUACUUUUCCUCCGUGUCCUCUCUCUGUUUCAUUUUCUACGUGUCUUUUCUUUUUCCUCCACAACUACAGCUCAUGCAGAACAUAGAGGCAUAGUCACCUGCUCUCUGUUACUCUCAUUCCUUCGUUUUCUUUUUCAAACACAGCUGUCGCAGCCAUCGUCGUUGCCACUACCACAGUCGUAGCCACGACCGCAGCUGCUGUCACAACCGCAACCGCUUCCACUGUACUACUUCCUUCCUCUCUUCUCUCGUUCCUACUUUUUCUUUCCCAAACACAACUGCCGUAGACGUAGCCGCCACCACCGCAGCCGCAAUCACGGCCACGGCCCCCUUUUUUUUCUCUUUUUCUUUCUUUCUCUUUCCAAAAGCAGCUGUUGUAGCCACCACCACUGCCGUAGCUACCGCAGCCGCAGUCGCAGACACGGCUGCAGCCACCACACCCGCAGCC